GGUUCCCGUACGAUCAUCGAAGUUAAACAACGCCGAGCCUGGUCAGUACCUUGAUAGGUGACCUCUUGGAAAUACCAGGUACUGUAA